UCAAGACCUUCCCUCUCACUUGUCUACAACACCUUUUUGUACCUGCAAAGCAUAGUAGCCACGGUAACAGUCUUCAACAGUGCCACUGCAUGAAUACCCAAGUGCUUCUUUGGCCAAAUGUCAAGACCUUCCCUCUCACUUGAACUCUCUGGUACCACCUGCAGAAAAACAUUUUAGAAAAAUUGGGCAAUAUAAAUAGCAUGAUCAACAAAACUUUGGGUGGAAAGGUUGGAUAUUUCUUCCUGCUGCCAUUACAACCUUUAAGUGUGACCUUGAUUUUCAUGUACAGUAUUUUUUUUAAAGGAGCCUCUGCUUCACUCUUCAGAUCCUUUGUAUGAACCUUUUCUUCUCUGCAGCUUGCCUGGAUCCCUGUUUCUGACUGCAAAGAAUGCUGGGCAGAAACUGGGCAUAAGUGUGCCUAUCCCCCCAGGGUUAGCCCUACGACAAGGCAGAGUCAGGUCACCACCAGAUUCUGAUGAUCAUGAAUAAGCAGCAAACAGCCAUGCUAUUUAUUGCUGUGUUUUUACCACAAGGAUCAGAAACAACAGCUUGUUUGCUUUUCUGCAGCUAAUGCCAAAGCAAUCUUACUGGUCUUGAGCAUGAUGUACCUUUGCACUUCUGUCUCAGGCAGCAGAAUGAUUUGGGGCUGGGGCCAGGAUUCAUAAGCACUUAACCCCAGGAACCAUGUGGUUGCCAGGAUGUGAAACUGCCCCCUGAAAACAGGAAAUGUUUUCUAGGUGGUGACUACUCAGAAGUGGUUUACUGUUCCCUUUUUCUGGGCAGCACCCUGGCAGUGUACAGGUUUCCCAUGGCUAGAUAGGCUGUCUCUUCUCUUGGGAGGCAGGGUGGGGAACCGAAUCCCCAGCCUUUGGCUCUGCUCUCAGAUACAGUACUUAAAUCACUGAGCUAUCUAUCCUGCCAGCUUACCAAUAAGGACCACUGAGAAAUCGCAGGCAAGACCGACCUCACCUUUCACGGAAGGAGAAGAGAGACAGGUGCUCGGCAGCCAGGUCAGCCUUGCACCUCCCGAAUCAAGCACUAGAGAAUGCAGUUCUUCAGGAUCCCUUCCACGCUCCUGGCAGUUCUCUCCCCUUCGGGCCUCUUUCGCUCCCACAAGCCGUCUGCCCUUUAGCGCAAACCAGAUCGGUGCCGUCCUCUUUUUCUUUUUUGAGUUCCCAGGCCACUCAGAGGCUGGACUUGUUCAGCCCUCUCCUCCCCCACCCAAGGCCGCCUAUUCCCGGGGCCCCCUUUUAGAUUCAGCGGGUUUUCACGGCGGAGCUAAAGAUACCAUCUGGAGCCUUAUAAAUCGAGUCCCUGCCGCAGGGUUGGCACUCCAUUACAAUGAAAGAUUUUCGCGCACUUUACAACCUCCCCGGCCCGCGCCGACAGCAGUACAGAUGAAGAUUCAGUACAAAUCAAGUGUCGUGAACAGGCUGCUGUCCCCUUUUAUUCAGGAUGGUACACUUCUGCAGAAUACAAAUUUCAUCUGUUUCUGGUGAGUCCUUUGUCUGGUUUGUAUUGGUUCUUUGACAUUUGCAUCUGGCAACCAUAUUCUUUCCUCCUGCCUAUCAGAAGAAGUUGGACAUUAUCUCUUCUUACCCAACAUGUGGUCAACUUAGGGAAGGG
ensembl:lncRNA